GUGUUGGUAGCUCAGUGGUAGAGUGCACGCUUUGUGUGUAUGACGUCCUGGUUCCAACCCCCAUCCUCUACC